rnacentral:lncRNA from 1 species
UAAACAGAGAUCUGGAAGAGGAAGCUGCUUGCUUCCCCCACACCCCCCACUUCCUUCCUGCCCUGUUUCUGAAGCUGAAAACCACAGGGGCCAUUUGUGCAGCUCUGAAUCAUGUCUUCCUGGGAAGCCUGGCAAGGUGCAGAAGGCGGCUCCAGGGCCCCACUAUUCUGCAAUAAAAGCAGGAGCUAUUGCCCAGGCUCUGUGUUCGUAGCCAGCAGUGGGGACCUGGAGGCUAGUGACCGCAGCCACCUGAACCUGUUCCCUAGGGUGGCCACGAGGUCUCCAGGAAGGUAAGCGCCAACCUUGAGAUCCUCUACCCGGAGCAGGAGAGAGGAUGGGGGGAGGAGGUGGGAGGCAAGGUGGAGGAGGGAGGAGAGGUGGCACCUGGCUUUCUAUUUUCAACCCCCUUUACUUACAGUGCAGGUGGGAGUUUCCAAAAUGAUACAUGCACCGUUUCUGAGUGUCUCUGACUUGCGAGGAAUAAACAGCUGCGUUCUCCCUGAAUAGGCCCUUACUUGGAGCUCAUGUCCGUCUGUCCAACCAAUCUAUCCCCUUCCGCCCCCCUACCCUCCGCACCCCCCACCCCAGUCACUGAGGCCAAGUGACCUAAAGUGCCAAGUCCAGCAGCUCCUCCAUUGUCCCUGCUUCCCGCUCUCCAGAGAGGAGGUGUGGAGUCUCCUGCUUAGGCUGAUGUCCCUGCCUGGGUGCCUUUCACUUUGUCCUGGGCCUGGGUCUGGAAGGCUCCACUCCCUGCUCCUGUCCCCAUAACCCCCCCCCCCCCCCGCCCCCUUAGCUUUUUCUCCACUGAUGCUGCAUUUAAGUGUGAGUCACUACUGAGCAGCUCCUUCAAGGGCCCGAGCUGACCGGCAGCCCUACUGGGAGGAGGUGCCACGGAAUACACCUCCCAGCGUUUGUUGGCCACAAAUGCAGGGUGGGAAAUUAAGACUUUAAAUUGCCAUAAUUUGGGUGCUGAUUGUCCCUUCCACCAGGUGGCCUGGGUAUUGAUGGUUUGGCCUCUGUAGUGACGCUGUGUCUCUGUGAGGUAGGAUCUCAUGAGAGGUCUGUAGGUCAUCACUGGAGACCCUUUAUUAAAGGGGAAGUGUUUGGUCAAGAAACCUCCAAGACCCAGAGCCAAAUCAACACUUUUCUCUUGAUAAGUUGAUCAUCUCAGGUGUUACUGCAGCAGAAGGUUGCCUAACAUACGUAACUCAUAAUUUUCUAUGUCCAAGGAUAUAUUUCCUUGCUCAGAUCCUGCGUGUCUUCCAUCGGUAUCCAGUGAACCUUUGCUCAGAAAUAAUUGAAUUACAAGUGGAUACCAAGAUUACCAGGAAAAUGUACAUUAAAAUGUACAUUAAAAUAUACACUAAAAACUAGUCUGUCACCAAACUGUUAAAUUUUGUGAAAUAAGAUGAAAGAUGCCUAGGUACUUCAUGCCCAAGACCCCUCAGGCUUUCCAUUCCUUCUGGUCACCAUUGAGACUAUCUCAACCCCAGGAAAUCAUAUACCCCUGUGAGGUUAGGGGUGCGAUCUUCAUGUCACUUAGGACACCAGGGGCAGUCCCAGCACUAGUGCAGAACCAGCUCUUGGUGUUCACAUUCUCUGCAUUGUUCUGCUGCUGAUAAUAACAAAGCUGGCAUUGAGAUGAGGAGUCAGUGUGCUUUACUGACUCCGUGCUGUCAGGUGACCUGCUCCGAGGCUGGCCUUCCUGAUUCUUGAGGCUGACCGACUCUCUGUAGACUCUGCUGGCUCUACUUGAGUCGUAGGGUUCAAUCUGUUCCCUGUCUUUGAGCAAACUGGUCCUAUCUGAGCUGAGUACCUAAGCUGGGUUUUGUCAGCUUAAUACAAACUGGGUCAGCUGGAAAGAUGGAGACGGUCAAGAAGAUGUCUGCAUCAAAUAGGCCUGAGGGCAAGACUGUAGAGUGUUGUCUUGAGUAACGGUUGAUUUGGGAGGGUCUAGCCCAUUGUGGGCGGUGCUAUCCCUAGACUGGUGGUCCUGGAUUCUACAGGAAAGCAGGCUGAGCAAGCUAUGGGGAGCAAGCCAGUAAAUAGCACCCCUCCAUGGUCUCUGCAUUAGCUCCUGUCUCCCAGUUCACACUUGAAGUUCCUGCCCUGACUUGCCUCAGUGAUGGACUGUGGCCUGAGACAUGUAGGCCAGACAAAGCCUUAUCUAUCCACAUUGCUUCAGUUACAGUGUUUCUCAUAGCAAUAGAAGCAAGCUAGGAGAGUUACUGCCACUCUUCUUUUAUGAUAGGGUCUUGUGUGGCCUAGGCUGGUCUUGAACUCACUGUACAGCCAAGCAAGGAUUAUCUUGAAUUUCUGGUCUUCUACCUCCAGCGAUGGGGUUGCAAGUGUGCACAGCCCCACCUGGUUACAAGGUGUUGGGGAAUCAAACCCAGGACCUCCUAUGUUCUAGGUAAGGACUCUACUGGCUUAGCUACACCCCCAGCCCCAGUACACUGUGAUAGUUUCUGUUGUUUGCCAGCCAGAUCCAUUGUCUCCAAAGAGUGACAAACUGUCCCUUCUUUUCCCAAGAUGGGGUGCCCCACUUCCUCCCAAGAAUAUUAUCUUUUAAUUCUUUCAGUUAUCCAAACAGGAAAGCUCUGUGUAGCAGUUCAGGUUUUGCACUUAACUUUUAUUUGAGGGUUAGGAAUUUAGGCCCCUUUAACACUAGGGUCCCACAUCUCUUCAAGGAAUUGAGGUGCUAUUAAAAAAACUUGAUUAACAUUGGAUUAAAUGUAUCAGGGUAUAUUUGAGGGAAAUAAGAAUUGGGGUGGGGGGAGCCAGAAGGAUUGUUGACAGUGUUAGAUGGGUUUGCUCUGGCUGAUGUCAUACUGGUGAGGCCUUGACAUGUCUGAGCCCCCCCCCCCCACCCUUAUGAGAGUGUAGUUUCUAUGGGGUAUGAGUUGAUUUUUCUUUUCUUAGGGACUGAUGAUGGGACUUAGGGCCUAGAGCAUGCUAGGGCACCACUAUCACUGAGUCACACCGCAGCUAUUGAGUGUGCUUUGUCACAUCAGAGAAGCCACAGGGGAAAUUCGUUCCAAACCCGAACAGAGCUUUGGGGUAGUUUCAACCUGAGCAUCCCCUGGGGAGGGGGUGAGCUCCCAUUUCUAAAGCUCCAUGACAACCAACAGAGGAUUAAAGAAAUCCAUAGCUGUCAGAAUUCUGCGCUGACAAGCCCAGGCAAACACACCAUCCUCGCUUCUGUAACUGGGGUGAGGCAGCUGUGCUGUGGAGAGUCGGGAGGAGAAGAGGGUUUCCUCAGGCUGAUGUCACAGUCCAGAACUUAGGGAAGCAAAGAAUGGCCUUUCCUGGGAUGUCAAAAGGUCAGCAAAAGACCCAGAGAGCCCUAUCCAUGGGCUGUCCCAGCUGGGCAUAGUCGAGUGGAGAACGAACCUCCAGUUACAUAAAUGGGUGCCGUGUGGCCCCUGAGCUCAGCUUUGCCUCUACACAAAGGCAAAUCUCCCUCCAUCAGGACUUGGCUCUGCACGAUGUUCUCAGAAUUCUGUGCUCACAUGGCUCCAGCAUACUCCAAAACCAAGGGAAGAAAAGAAAAAGCUAAAAGGGGUACUUUUUGCCACCCAUCCAUCUUUCCCCCUUUGUUCUACAGUGAUGAAUCAGCCAUGACAAAUGUCACACAGUGUGUCCCCUGGGAGAGGAGAAUCCUGUGCCCUUAUUCUGUGCAAAUGAAGUCAUUGUGAGUCACACUUCAAACCAUCCCUCAGUUAAGUUUUAUCCUCUCCCCAGAAUGGUGCAAUAGAAGAAAAGUCUCUACUUUGGAAGGACCCCAUCCUUAAGGCUAUCAAAUGGCCCCAGGGACUAGGACACUCACACCGGGAUAAUUCUUACUGCUGGCCACAUACUGCUCAUCCUGUCACAAUUCCAUCAGCGACACACCUCCUUUGUUAAGGAAUGUCACUGCCUCACCUCAUGCAGUAACCAUGGCUGAUGUGCAGAGUUUAUUUGCUACAUGCUAGUUUAUUCCAUGUACUUAGAGGUAGGUCAUUGGAGAGGUGCUUAGUAACUUAUGCAAAUGAGCAUACUUAAUUAUGUCAAAACGUGAUGAUGUCUAUUUUUUUCCAAAUUUCCCCCAAAUCAGUAUCUUGUAAGCUAUUCAUCAUAGGGAUCCAUCAGUUUACCAAUGUGAAAACACCUACAGUGUGCUAAGAGUUUAUUUAAUUUUAUGGGUGUGAAUGCACUGUGGACACAUAUGUCUGUGCACAUAUGUCUGUAUGCCUCUUGUUUCAGCCUCUCCAUGGCCACACUCUGAGGCCAUGGUGAAAGAAUACCUCUGCUGGAUCUUUACGUGGAGCUCCAAAGCUGUGCUCAUUAGCAAGUGCAUUACAGCUGGAUUGCUGAUAGCAAUUACGAGGGGGGAAAACAAUAAUUAAGCAAACAGAGCCAUGGAAGAUGAGAUACGGUAUGCACGGUGUUCACGGGGUGGGGGUGGGGGUGGGGGAGGGGAGGGGAGGUUUCCAUGGUAAGUUUGAAAUAAGAAACCCAAAUUCUCCCGUUAAAAAUGUCCCUGCACUCAAGGGCAACCGCAGAUGACACAGGGCAAAAGAAAAUAGGAGUUGCAGGAAUCGAGCUCCGCUGCCCGGGAUCCUCUGGGUCUAGAGCAGAGGUUAAUUAUUAAAUGUUCUUAUUACCAGGCUUUAGCGCUCUCUAAAGCUCAGGCAUAGAACUUCCCCACCAGGUGGCUGCUGGUUUAUUCCACAAAGCCAGAAAAAAAAAAAAAAAAAAAAAGAGCCAGGACUGAAUAGAAUUUUAUUUUUGGGUAUAAAAAAAUUUAGAUACAAAGAAAUUGGCAUUCUUUUUUUUGUUGUUGUUGUUAGUAAUCUUUAUUUCAAAAUAGAAAAUUAUAUAUACAUAUAUAAUGAUAUAGAUAUAGAGAUAUUGAGAUAUAUAAUGACAACCUUAAGCAAAUUAAGAUCUAUAAAAUGCCAUGGUUUGCUUUGAAAAUUUUAUUUGCAAAAUUUCUUCUUUUUCUAGAACUUCUUUUCCUCUGCAUUUGCUGUUUUUCAGCCAUGGGAAUUGACAUUCUUGGAUACUCUCCUGGAUACUGGACCUUCCCCCACCUCUGCUCUGUUUGCCUAAUCCCUGCCAAUCUUGGUUUCCUCUGGCAUAGCCCGAGUGCAGAUACUGGGGGAUUUAGGAGAGAGCCAAGGAUGCCACCUUUGAAGUCCUUCUCAUUGAAGCAGAUGGGAUAAUCUAUUCAAAAGAAGGAGAGACCUGAUACCGGGCACCAGGGUCUAAUGCAAAUGCUAACAGUUCAGAGCACAGAGCAGGCAGGCUGGCAGCACCUGCUCUGACUACAGAGAGUAGCAGGCAGAGAACUUGUGUGUUGGUCUUGUCCCUGUUGGGAGAAGAGGAGCAUUCAGUAGUGUCUUAGUUAGGGUUUUACUGCUGUGAACAGACACCAUGAACAAGGCAAGUCUUAUAAAAACAGCAUUUAAUUGGGGCUGGCUUGCAGGCUCAGAGAUUCAGUCCAUUAUUAUCAAAGUGGGAACACGGCAGCAUCCAGGCAGGCAUGGUGCAGGAGGAGCUGAGAGUUCUACACCUUCAUGUGAAGACUGCCAGCAGAAUACUGACUCCCAGACAGUUAGGAUGAGGGUCUUAAAUCCCACAUCCACAGUGACACACCUACUCCAACAAGGCCACACUUCUCAACAGUGCCACUCCCUAGGCCAAGCAUAUACAAACCAUCACAAGUAGAGAAAAUGAAGAAAGUAUAGCUAUUGAGGUACAAGAGAAACCAGAAAAAGAAUAAACAAAAGGAGUGGGGUUGCUGUUCAUGGAGGCAGGGAAGGAACACUCGCAUCAGUGGUGGGACUAGGUAAAGGAAGGAGAAGGGACAAGAAUAGGUCGUUAGCUUCAGAUGUGGUGGCCAUCCACAGGGACUUUACAUGAAGUGAGGAGUGGGCCAAAGCCUGAAAGGAAAGGUGGGGUAAAGUAAAGAGGAAAGAAACACUCUAAAUCAGAACUGAAGGAUGGGGUGGAUAGAGUUUGGGGCAAAUGUACCUGAAGAUCCAGAUGUUAAAGGUCCAGAUGUUAGAUACAGUUGGAAGAUGGUAGAACCUUUAAGGGGUGGGGCCUAGUGAGCAGAUUGUGAGGCUCCACCCCCUUUCGCUUUCUCUCUUUUUUAUUGGGCAGAAAGUGAGUAGUUCCACCAUCUUGCCUCCCCUCCAGAUCAAGGACUAGAGCCUAAAACAGUGGAUCAGGACAACCCUCAGGAGUGUAUUAUACCAAUGGCAAGCUGGCUGAUCCAGGACAGCAUUGGCUUAGGGAGGGCUUCUAAAGGACGAGAGACGCUAGAACAUUUAUGAGGUGGGGAAUGAUCCAGAGCUAGGAAAAACCUCAAUGCAGACAGAACGGAGUUGACGGAGCAAAAGCCUUGAACCAGUGAGAGCAGAUGGUGUUCACAACAGAGGUGGAAGUGGUUUUAAUGGGUGUGCAGGGGAAAGAAGGGGGGGAGGGGGCGCAGGUCAGCCUAGCUUUAGUCUCUUUUCUUUUGCCCUCCAUAGAUAGGAGGAAGAUCUUCCUUGGCCUUGAACUCUAUUCUCUUAACCCCACCUCCCAAGUGCUGGGAGAAUUUCAGGCACACACUGUCACAUCCUGCUUCUUUUCGUAUCGACUUAACUUCUUGGGAAAAUGAGAAUGGGAUCAAGUCCCUCAGCUUGCUGGGAGCGUAUUCUUGUGGACCUAGCACCCAGGAGGUGGAGGCAGGAGGGCAGAUGGUCAUGGUCAUCCUCUGCUACCUUGAAAGUUUG